rnacentral:rRNA from 1 species
GACGAACGCUGGCGGCGUGCUUAACACAUGCAAGUGGAGCGACGAACCAGGGCUUGCCCUGGGGCAAAGCCGCGAACGGGUGAGUAACACGUGGGUAACCUGCCCCGAUGACCGGGACAACCCGAGGAAACUCGGGCUAAUACCGGAUGAGCUCACGCCACAUCAGUGGCAUGAGGAAAGGAAGCUUCGGCCUCCGCAUUGGGGAUGGGGCCCGCGGCCCAUUAGCUUGUUGGNGGGGUAAAGGCCUACCAAGGCUUCGAUGGGUAGCUGGUCUGAGAGGACGAUCAGCCACACUGGGACUGAGACACGGCCCAGACUCCUACGGGAGGCAGCAGUGGGGAAUCUUGCGCAAUGCGCGAAAGCGUGACGCAGCAACGCCGCGUGCGGGAAGACGGCC